AUUGAACGCCGGCGGCAGGCCUAACACAUGCAAGUCGAGCGGUUGACGGGAGCUUGCUCCCUGAUUCAGCGGCGGACGGGUGAGUAAUGCCUAGGAAUCUGCCUAUUAGUGGGGGACAACGUUUCGAAAGGGACGCUAAUACCGCAUACGUCCUACGGGAGAAAGCAGGGGACCUGCGGGCCUUGCGCUAAUAGAUGAGCCUAGGUCGGAUUAGCUUGUUGGUGAGGUAAUUGCUCACCAAGGCGACGAUCCGGAACUGGUCUGAGAGGAUGAUCAGUCACACUGGAACUGAGACACGGUCCAGACUCCUACGGGAGGCAGCAGUGGGGAAUAUUGGACAAUGGGCGAAAGCCUGAUCCAGCCAUGCCGCGUGUGUGAAGAAGGUCUUCGGAUUGUAAAGCACUUUAAGUUGGGAGGAAGGGUUGUAGAUUAAUACUCUGCAAUUUUGACGUUACCGACAGAAUAAGCACCGGCUAACUCUGUGCCAGCAGCCGCGGUAAAAC
rnacentral:rRNA from 1 species